AUUGAACGCUAGCGGGAUGCCUUACACAUGCAAGUCGAACGGAGUGGCGAACGGGUGAGUACUGUAUCGGAACGUGCCCAGUAGCGGGGGAUAACUACGCGAAAGCGUAGCUAAUACCGCAUACUUUUGGAGCGGCCGAUAUUGGAGUUGCUAGUUGGUGGGGUAACGGCUCACCAAGGCGACGAUCCGUAGCUGGUCUGAGAGGACGACCAGCCACACUGGGACUGAGACACGGCCCAGACUCCUACGGGAGGCAGCAGUGGGGAAUUUUGGACAAUGGGGGAAAGCAUGAUCCAGCCAUGCCGCGUGUGUGAUGAAGGCCUUCGGGUUGUAAAGCACUUUUGGCAGGAAAGCGGUACCUGCAGAAUAAGCACCGGCUAACUACGUGCCAGCAGCCGCGGUAAUUC
rnacentral:rRNA from 1 species